GUCGGGUAUGGUAGUUGGUUAGAGCGUCGUACUAAUGCAGCAUUGAAUUGCAUCAAGUAAAUGCGAAGGUCAUGGGUUCGACCCCAAUACUGACA